rnacentral:rRNA from 1 species
CCUACGGGGGGCAGCAGUUAUUAAUAUUUUUCACUUUCCUCCCUUCUUCCCCCGCCCUGCCGCGUGCCGGAAGACGGCUCUAUGAGUUGUAAACUGCUUUUGUACGAGGGUAAACGCAGAUACGCGUAUCUGUCUGAAAGUACCGUACGAAUAAGGAUCGGCUAACUCCGUGCCAGCAGCCGCGGUAAUACGGAGGAUUCAAGCGUUAUCCGGAUUUAUUGGGUUUAAAGGGUGCGUAGGCGGUCUGAUAAGUUAGAGGUGAAAUCCCGAGGCUCAACUUCGGAAUUGCCUCUGAUACUGUCAGUCUAGAGAGUAGUUGCGGUAGGCGGAAUGUAUGGUGUAGCGGUGAAAUGCUUAGAGAUCAUACAGAACACCGAUUGCGAAGGCAGCUUACCAAGCUACUUCUGACGUUGAGGCACGAAAGCGUGGGGAGCAAACAGGAUUAGAUACCCGAGUAGUC